GACGAACGCGGCGGCGUGCCUAAUACAUGCAAGUAGAACGCUGAAGAGAGGAGCUUGCUCUUCUUGGAAGAGUUGCGAACGGGUGAGUAACGCGUAGGUAACCUGCCUUGUAGCGGGGGAUAACUAUUGGAAACGAUAGCUAAUACCGCAUAACAAUGGGUGACCCAUGUCAUUCAUUUGAAAGGGGCAACUGCUCCACUACAAGAUGGACCUGCGUUGUAUUAGCUAGUAGGUGAGGUAACGGCUCACCUAGGCGACGAUACAUAGCCGACCUGAGAGGGUGAUCGGCCACACUGGGACUGAGACACGGCCCAGACUCCUACGGGAGGCAGCAGUAGGGAAUAUUCGGCAAUGGGGGCAACCCUGACCGAGCAACGCCGCGUGAGUGAAGAAGGUUUUCGGAUCGUAAAGCUCUGUUGUAAGUCAAGAGCGAGUGUGAGAGUGGAAAGUUCACACUGUGACGGUAGCUUACCAGAAAGGGACGGCUAACUACGUGCCAGCAGCCGCGGUAAUACGUAGGUCCCGAGCGUUGUCCGGAUUUAUUGGGCGUAAAGCGAGCGCAGGCGGUUUGAUAAGUCUGAAGUUAAAGGCUGUGGCUCAACCAUAGUUCGCUUUGGAAACUGUCAAACUUGAGUGCAGAAGGGGAGAGUGGAAUUCCAUGUGUAGCGGUGAAAUGCGUAGAUAUAUGGAGGAACACCGGUGGCGAAAGCGGCUCUCUGGUCUGUAACUGACGCUGAGGCUCGAAAGCGUGGGGAGCGAACAGG
rnacentral:rRNA from 1 species